AAAUUGCUUAUGGAGAAUAGAUGAUAGGUAACACUAGAAUAGCAUUAGUCUACCAUCUGUGGAGAAUAGAUGAUAGGUAACACUAGAAUAGCAUUAGUCUACCAUCUGUGGAGAAUAGAUGAUAGGUAACACUAGAAUAGCAUUAGCCUACCAUCUGUGGAGAAUAGAUGAUAGAUAACACUAGAAUAGCAUUAGUCUACCAUCUGUGGAGAAUAGAUGAUAGAUAACACUAGAAUAGCAUUAGUCUACCAUCUGUGGAGAAUAGAUGAUAGGUAACAGGUCACACUAGAAUAGCAUUAGCCUACCAUCUGUGGAGAAUAGAUGAUAGAUAACACUAGAAUAGC